UGAGAAGCGGAGCAGCAGCGGCUGCCUCAGGUGCGCAGAGCAACGCGCUCCUUCCCGUUCCCCCACACCGGCUUCGGCCUUCUCACGGGCUGUCAAAAAUGGUGAAAGAAACCACUUACUAUGAUGUUUUGGGAGUCAAACCCAAUGCCACCC